GCACGUCUUGUGCUGGCUGCCAUCCUGCUGUUUCUGGUAGUGGCAGUAGAUUUUGCCGGACGGCUGAUGUCGGUUCUGGCUGAUGGCGUGCU
rnacentral:tRNA from 1 species